UAAGCGGAGGAAAAGAAACUAACAAGGAUUCCCCUAGUAACUGCGAGUGAAGCGGGAAAAGCUCAAAUUUAAAAUCUGGUAGUCUUUGGCUGCCCGAGUUGUAAUCUAGAGAAGCAUUAUCCGUGCUGGACCGUGUAUAAGUCUCCUGGAAUGGGGCGUCAUAGAGGGUGAGAAUCCCGUCUUUCAUGGACUCCCAGUACUUUGUGAUGUGCUCUCAACGAGUCGAGUUGUUUGGGAAUGCAGCUCUAAAUGGGUGGUAAAUUCCAUCUAAAGCUAAAUAUUGGCGAGAGACCGAUAGCGAACAAGUACCGUGAGGGAAAGAUGAAAAGAACUUUGGAAAGAGAGUUAAACAGUACGUGAAAUUGUUGAAAGGGAAACGCUUGAAGUCAGUCGCAUUGGUCAGGGAUCAACCUUGCUUCUGCUUGGUGUACUUCCUGGUUAAUGGGUCAGCAUCAAUUUUGACCAGUGGAAAAAGGCUGGGGGAAUGUGGCAUCUCCGGAUGUGUUAUAGCCUUCUGUCGUAUACAUUGGUUGGGAUUGAGGAACUCAGCACGCCGCAAGGCCGGGUUUUAACCACGUUCGUGCUUAGGAUGCUGGCAUAAUGGCUUUAAUCGACCCGUCUUGA
rnacentral:rRNA from 1 species